rnacentral:SRP_RNA from 1 species
GUUUGGGUCUUACGCAAUGAUUCCCCGUGAACCGUGUCAGAUUGGGAACAAAGCAGCACUAAGCGGGCCCUAUCAUGUGCCGUGAGGGUGCCUGGCGGAG